UCCGGUUUGUCCCGGCGAGUCACAUGUCAAGGGCUGGUAAGGUUCUGCGCGUUGCGUCGAAUUGAACCACAUGCUCCACCGCUUGUGCGGGCCUCCGUCAAUUCCUUUGAGCUUCAACCUUGCGGCCGUACUCCCCAGGCGGGGUGCUUAACGCGUUAGCUGCGACACUGACGAGCAAGCCCGCCAACGUCUAGCACCCAUCGUUUACGGCGUGGACUAC
rnacentral:misc_RNA from 1 species